UACGGGGGGAGCAAGCGUUGUUCGGAUUUACUGGGCGUAAAGGCGCGUAGGCGGCCAGCACAAGUCAGUUGUGAAAUCUCCGAGCUUAACUCGGAAAGGUCAACUGAUACUGUGCGGCUAGAGUGCAGAAGGGGCAACUGGAAUUCUUGGUGUAGCGGUGAAAUGCGUAGAUAUCAAGAGGAACACCUGCGGCGAAGGCGGGUUGCUGGGCUGACACUGACGCUGAAGCGCGAAAGCCAGGGGAGCGAACGGG
rnacentral:rRNA from 1 species